rnacentral:rRNA from 1 species
GAUGAACGCUGGCGGCGUGCCUAAUACAUGCAAGUCGAGCGAACAGACGAGGAGCUUGCUCCUCUGACGUUAGCGGCGGACGUGUGAGUAACACGUGGAUAACCUACCUAUAAGACUGGGAUAACUUCGGGAAACCGGAGCUAAUACCGGAUAAUAUAUUGAACCGCAUGGUUCAAUAGUGAAAGACGGUUUUGCUGUCACUUAUAGAUGGCUCCGCGCCGCAUUAGCUAGUUGGUAAGGUAACGGCUUACAAAGGCAACGAUGCGUAGCCGACCUGAGAGGGGGAUCGGCCACACUGGAACUGAGACACGGUCCAGACUCCUACGGGAGGCAGCAGUAGGGACUCUUGCGCAAUGGGCGGAAGCUUGACGGAGCAACGCCGCGUGAGUGAUGAAGGUCUUCGGAUCGUAAAACUCUGUUAUUAGGGAAGAACAAAUGUGUAAGUAGCUAUGCACGUCUUGACGGUACCUAAACAGAAAGCCACGGCUAACUACGUG